rnacentral:rRNA from 1 species
UACAUGGGGUGCAACCGUUGCUCGGAAUUAUUGGGCGUAAAGCGCACGUAGGCGGUUUGUUAAGUCGGAUGUGAAAUCCCUCGGCUCAACUGAGGAAGUGCAUCCGAAACUGUCAAGCUUGAGUACGAAAGAGGAUCGCGGAAUUCCCGGUGUAGAGGUGAAAUUCGUAGAUAUCGGGAGGAACACCGGUGGCGAAGGCGGCGAUCUGGGUCGAUACUGACGCUGAGGUGCGAAAGCGUGGGGAGCAAACGGG